rnacentral:rRNA from 1 species
GACGGAGGGUGCAAACGUUGUUCGGAAUUACUGGGCGUAAAGGGCGCGUAGGCGGGAUGGCAAGUCGGUCGUGAAAUCCCUCGGCUCAACCGAGGAACGUCGAUCGAUACUGCUGUUCUUGAGGAUUGCAGAGGAGACUGGAAUUCCCGGUGUAGCGGUGAAAUGUGUAGAGAUCGGGAGGAACACCGGUGGCGGAGGCGGGUCUCUGGGCAAUUCCUGACGCUGAGGCGCGAAAGCGUGGGGAGCAAACGGG